GGGGGGGCUUCCCGGUGGAAUUUAGCAAAUCCAUUAAGGGGGGGAAAGGAAAUUACCAGGAUUUCCCUUGGAAAUGGGAGGGGAAGGGGAAAAAGUUAAAUUUAAAAUUUGGGGGUCCUUGGCCGUUCGAGGUGGAAAUUAAAGGAGGGUUUUUCCGGGUGGGCCGGGCCCCAGUUUCCCGGAAAGGAGGGUUGUAGAGGGGGAGAAUCCCGUUUUUGGCCAGGGAAGCCCCAGGGUUUUUGGGAUGCGCUUUCAAAGGGUGGAGUGGUUGGGGAAUGCAGUUCAAAAUGGGGGGUGAAUUCCAUUAAAAGUUAAAUAUGGGGGAGAGACGGAUAGGGACCAAGUCCCGGGAGGGAAAGAUGAAAACCACUUGGGAAAGAGAGGGAACCAGUAGGGGAAAUGGUGGAAAGGGAAACGCUGGAAUUCGGUGGGGUCGCCGGAGAUUCACCCUUCCCUGGGCUGGGGGUAUUUUUGGCCCGACGGGUCAGCAUCAAUUUUGCCCCUUGGAUAAUGGCGGGGGAAAGGUGACACCUUCGCGGGUGUGUUAUAGUCUCUCUGUCGCAUGCAAGGGUGCUGGGAUUGAGGAACUCAGCACGCGCCCUGGGGCGG
rnacentral:rRNA from 1 species